UAGAACUUCUGAGAUUGCUAGGAGGUCAAUGUGAUCUUAACUGCAGCUCUCAUAAUACAGUCAUCUGUAAGGAGGUUUGGUGCGAUAGGGACAGAACAUUUUGAAGUGCUGAAUUGUAUUAAGUGGUGAGGGCGGGACUGUGCUGAAUUGUAUCCUGCAACUCCAUAUCUCUUGUGCUACAUUACAUAUAAAAUAGAUUGCUUCUCAUGUUGUGCAGGUACCAGUAUCACAAGCAUGCCACUAGGGGUGGUGUGGGCUCAACUAUCAAGCCUAUAGGGAACUUCAAGAUAAGGAAGAACCAUGGAGAGACCUCCUACACCAACAUUUGUAAAAGACUUUAUACCAGCCAACAAAUCCACAAAUCAUGGCAGGCCAGUAUAUUAAGAGAUAAAGAAUACUCUAAUCUGAUUCAGAAGCUAGCAUUGUUUGUACAUCAAAUCAACUCCUAGGAGAGACCAUUGAUAGAUCAGUAAGUCACAGGUUUGUGUCAACAAAGUCAUGUGAAUUCCAGUGCUUAAUAGAGACUAGAAGAGAAUCAUUUAUCUGAUAAUAAGAACAAAGUAAAGUUAUAUUUGGUUGUGCAAACAAUACUGGUUAUUUGUAGAGCUAAUAGUCUCAAGAGUUAGCAUGCAGGGAAGGGCAUUGAAUUAUGAGUGUGUGCAUGGGUACUGAAUAAGUGAGAUUCCAAAUGAUAAUUUUUGAUAUAAAAUGGGAGGUGUACAUUUUAUCCAACACUUUGCAUCACAAGAUGUGGUGACAGCCAACAACCUGGAUGGCUUUAAGAGGGGUUUGGAUAACUUCACGGAGAAGAGGUCUAUCAUCGGCUACUAGUCAGAGGGCUAUAGGCCACCUCCAGCCUCAAAGGCAGGAUGCUUCUGCUUGCAGGGGACUAACAGCAGGAGAGAGGGCAUGCCCUCAACUCCUGCCUGUGACUUCCAGUGGCAUCUGGUGGGCCACUGUGUGAAACAGGAUGCUGGACUAGAUGGGCCUUGGGCCUGAUCCAGCAGGGCUGUUCUUAUGUUCUCUAAAACAGGUGGAGGCUAUUCACACAUGAAUAGCCUAACUCAAGCUAGGGAAGCUGAGCCUGGGUUAUGCUGCAUAUGAGAACCACUGAGAUAGGGCCCGAUCCUGGUGGGGUGGCGACACCAAGCCUCGCUUUACAACCCUGCUCUUCACCAGGGUUAAAGGCUCGACUGAGCCCUUAACCUGGGAUCCAAGAUCAUGUGUUCACUAGGGCUAUGUUUAGCCGCAGUGGACACUCUUGGGGGAAUCCCCUAAUUCAUUGUGUGUGUUGCGCAGUACAUUGUGGGAUCUCCAGAGGACACAUUGGAUCUUCCGGGAGUGCGACUCCCAGCAACUUUGCAACCAUUGUCUGGGAGGGAAGGCGAGUUUGACCAGCCUUCUCCACUGCCCACUCACCCGGUCCUGUGAACGACCUUAUGCUCUGACUGUUGAAGUGCUAAGAAUAUGCUGUUAUUACAGUUAGGAUCCACCUGAGGCCUUCCAUGCUUGCAUACAUAUGAUCUUUGUGGUGUGGUAGAUCAGUUUGAGUGUUCUGCCCUUGAAGACUUACAGAGCCCAUUGCAUUAAAUAUCGGUCACUACUUCAGGAAAAAUCAUGAAAAACUGGGAAAGCUUCAGAAGAAAGUUAUGAGAAUGUUAAAGGAUCUAAAAGGCAAAUCAUAAAUAUAAGCUUAAGAAAGUGAACAUGUACAGCUUAGGAAAAAAAGAGUGACUAUUCCAAAACAUGUCAGAGAGAAGAGAACUGAAUGUACUUCAUCCCAUCCAGUAGCAAGGUAGAAGUGAAGCAGCCUGCAUUCCACCCAUGGAGAGGGACUGAGAACGAAAUGCUGAGAACAAGGAAUUAGAACAGACAAUCCAUAUGCAAAACUCAUCCUUCAUUUAUCACAAAUGAGUGCUCCACAAUACAAUGAAAUAAUAUUUAGGUAGAGGAGCACAUGUAUAUAUAGAUGAUGAGUACAUGUAUGGUAUUCCUGCCUAUUAAGAUCAUCCGUGGAGGUCCAGUUGUGGUUGCCACCGGCUCAGUUGGUGGUGACUCAAAACCGGGCCUUUUCUAGGGUUGCCCUAGGACUUUGGAACACACUUCCUAACAAAAUUAGAGCCUCCCCUUCUCUGGGUGUUUUUAAGAAGGACUGGAAGAUAUACCUGUUUUUAGUCAGGCUUUUAGUUUAUAGUUUUUAAGUUUUAGAGAUUUUAUCUGUAUUUUAAACUGUUUUAAUUGUGUUAAUGUUUAAUUGCUAUGUUUUUAGAUUGUGAACUGGCCAGGGACUGGUGUAUGGGGUGGUAUAGAAAUUGGUUAAAUAAAUAAAAAGUGUGUUACAUGUGUUAAAUGUGUUAAAUAAAUAGAUAGAUAGAUUUACCUGAAUCCAAGACUAGUUUCUGCCCAACUUCUUUGAUGUUAGAAAUUGAGGGGUUGUCUUAAAUCCUGAGUCCUCUUACUUUUGAGUAAAUGUUAAGAUGUACAAUCUGUACUUAACCUCUGUUUUUAAGGGGGUCAUCCUAAAUUCAGAGUCAUCUUCUGUUUGAGUAAAUAUGAUACCUAUAUCAGUCUACAUAUAAACAGAUCUGAUUAUAAUUACAAAACCACAAAAAUAUAAAUAGAGCUCUAUCCAAUUCUUUUAAAUCUGCUAAAAUCUACUUUUUUGCCCUGCUGUAGCCAGAGAUGCUACGCACAUGGAAGUUUGCAUGCACAUUUUCCAAGCUGGAUGGAUAAGAGCAUGUACAAAUGUGCAAGCAAUUCAUUUCUACAGCCCAAGCACUCCUAUUGGAUAGAGGUUAACACUUUACAAAAUGCUGAAAUUCUACCAGUCAGCUGUUCAGGGGCAGGAGUGGAGAGCUGAAGAGCUGUUUAAAUACUGCCCAUACCACAGGAAUGAUGGUAAUACAUUCCAACUCAUGCUUUCUCUAUGAAUUUGCUAGGAUAAUUGUCUGUGUGCAAUAUGGUGAUUGGUGGAGGAUGCAAAGUUGCUAAGGAAGCUGUGUGUCAAAAGUUCUUGUUUCUGUUUCCAUAGUGGUAUGUUAUUGCCGGCUGAACAUAGCAUACAAACUAGGAUGCAAUGGUGGCUGUUCUAGCCAGACUAUGGAAUAAGCCUGCCCAGGCGAUUAUUUGGGGAACAUCAAUGUUUGUAUUGUAAAUGGAACUGAAGAGCCCCCCUGCAUUUUCCCCCUAAUGUGAAAAUAUGGGAAAUUUGCAGCUGGUCCUCUGGUUUGGCACUUGCUGUUAAUUGCAUCCAUAUUCUUGUGCCCACAAAUAAUUUUUGGCCUGAGCAUCUGUUCCUUUGUGUUUAUUUGGGCUUCAGUGAUGUAGGCUUAAUUUCUCCCAUUUUUAUUUUUUAACACACUAAUGCUUGGUUUGUUUUUUUGAUAUUUAAUGCACUCUCUGUGUGUAAAAGGGGAUUGUAUCAAGGAUAUAAUUUAUCAUUUUGUAUGUACUUUCAGUGCUUCCUGCACAUUGCCACAGCUGAGUAGCAGAUAUAGUCAGAGUGACAUAUCAAGUGUGGAAAUAACAUGGAACAGAAGUAGCAGAUAUGGAAAUAACAUGUUCUUUUCACACAUGCUCCACCAGCUAUAGCUUUUGAAUUUCACGGGCAGAGUACAAACGCCUCCCUAUCAUACACUCUUCAAUAAUUUAGUAAAUUGAAUGUUGACAUAUUUAAAAAGAACUGCCCAUUGUUUUUCAACCAGCACAGAGCCUUAUUGUAUUAUCCACAGGCACAUCCUUUCCUAGGAAAACAUAAUAAAUAAAAUAUACUCAUCCCUCAAAAGAAGCUGCAAUCCUAUGAACACUUACUACAAAGCAAGUGUGACCUUUAGAGUCUAAUAUUUAAAACCAUAAAAAGCUUGGGGCCAAAGUACCAGAAAGAGUGCCUACUCUCCCACAUGAAUAUGCCCGAUCCAUAAGAACUUCAAGAGAGACUCUUCUGCAUGUGCUGACUCCAGCUGGUGGUCAUGCACGACUUCUUAGUGGUGGCUUCCACUGUCUGGAGCAACCUCCUUUAUGAGUUUGAUUGGUACUCUCAGUCCUGAGGUUUUGUUAGCUUGUGAAGUCUUGAUUGUUUCAUCAGCCUUUCUCAUACUCUGUUUUAGAGGUUUUUAAAAUUGUGUUUUUUCUCUUUUUAAUAGAGUUUUAUUGUGUGAAUUAAAUAUCUGUGUUAUCUUUUUAGUUUUUACAUAAUGUAAACUUAUUGUAAGCCACCUUGGAUUUUGUUAAAGAAUGGCAGGAUAUAUAUGUUUUACAACAAAGAAAUAAAGUAAGCCUUCAUUUAACUCAUUAAGUACUUCAUUAAACUCAAUAGGAUUUGCUUCCAAGUAAAUGUUCAUAGGAUUUGAUUGCAUAGCUGGAAUCCUACUAACUCUUGAACACCUAGGAUUUACUUUCAAGUAAACAUGCAUAAGAUUGGGCUACAUGUUCCACUGAACUCGGUGCAACUUACUUUUGAACAAGUAUAUUUGGGUAGGGAUGAUGCCAUCAGAAACUUUAAAAUAUGUUUUCUGUAGUGGAAUUUCUGGUUGCAGACAUUGGUUGUAACCUACAUGCAGUGAAAUGACAUACUGUUGAUUGCUAGUCAAGCCAGAUAUUAGCAGGUCAUUUAUGACAGGAGAGGAAGGCAGCACGAUUGUUCAGUUGGAUAAAGAGAUAAAAUGUAAUCUUGAUAGAUAAUCUCAUUAAAGGGGGAAAUUGGGGAGUAUUUAAAGCAACCUGCCUGAUCCUAAUAGGCUAUUCAAUAGGAUUAGAACCAAGAUUAAUUCUUAGCACUCAAAGAGAAAACUUUCUCAGUAUAGUGAUGGUAACUCUUGCCCGAUCUCAUUGACCUUGUUCUCUUAUGUUGUUGUCUAUAGGGCCUCACUCUUGCAAGACAGCAAUUCGUACCUGUGGUCUCUACAUAGGAAACGGUUUCUGAUUACAUGUUCCCUCUUUGAAAAUAUGUGCCCUGUGUUUUUCUCCAGGUUGACAUAGAGGCAUUGUAAUGACUGAAAUGACUGUGGCACUAUUUCAAGAAAAAACACUAAUGCUGGAGAAAGACAAUACAUUUAUAAGAGCCUGAGAAAGGCAUCUUUUCCUAUAGAUUCACAGAUUCAUUUUGUUCCAUUGUUGCCUCUGGUCUAAUAGUUUUUUGCAUCAUUGCCAGACCCUGCAAAACCAGUUCAGGCAAGGCAACAAGUAUACAUAACAUUCUAUACAUAUUUGUUUGCUUUAUCUUUAUCCUGCUUUUAUCCAAAAAGAUCCACAAAGCAACUUACAACAAAUACAAACACAACACUAUAGCCUCUAGAAGAAAUUAUAACAAUAAAAUGCAAUCGUCCAAUGGAAGGACCAGCAGAUUAAUGCAAUGUCAAAAUUCAAUUAAUCCAGCAAGCCUUCUGAAAUGAAACUGCCUUCACCCAGCAUCUGAAAAAUAAUUUUUUAAAAAGAGCAAAACAAGCCUCUCUGGGGAGUGAGUCUCAUAACCUUGGUGCUGCCACUGAAACGAUCUUGUCCCAUUUCGGUACUGAACUCCAGUGGCAGGGGAAGAUGAAGCAGGGGUCUGCAGAAGACAUGUGCGCAGGCAGGUUCAUAUAGAAGGCAGUCCAGGAAAUAGUUACUUUACACAAAAGUAAACCCAACUUUCUGUAGGCCUCGCUCCCAAGUAAACAGACAUAGGAUUGCAGUUUUAAUGCUUUUGUGUGCUCUCCCAAUAUACAUGUGCUCAAAAAUGUCUUAAAAAAUAAAACACACAGAACCAUGAGCUCUCUCCUCUCAUUCAGUCCUUUCAAAUGAGGUCAGUGGUAUUACCCAAGUGAUUUUCAAACAUCAUGUAUGUAAAUGAGACACAAGAUCUGCCGAGGGCCUUUCAACUAUCUUUUUAAUUAUAUUUGUACACCACCCAAAUUUCCAUCUCUGGGAGGUUUGCAGCAGCAACAUAACACAAAUUAAAACAGACAUUAAAACCUUAAAACAAUUUAAAACCACAUAGUUUAGAAGCUUGGGUGAAUAAAUGUGUAUUUAGAGACUUUUAAAAAGUUGUCAGAGAUGGAGAGGCUCUUAUUUCAGCAGGGAGCACAUUCCAGAAUCUUGGGGUGGAAACAGAGAAGGCCCAUCCCUGUGUGGCCACCACUGAGCUGGUGGCAACUUCAAAUGAACCUCUCCAGAUGAUCUCAAUGGGUGAUGGGGCUUAUAGUGAAGAAGACGUUCUCCGAAAUACCCUGGACACAAUCUGUUUAGGGCUUUAUAGGUAAAAACCGGCUCCUUGUGUCUUGACAUGGAGAUGGCAGUGCCAAGGAACAUUAGCAUUGCUGCAGCACUGGGCAAAAGGGGCAGGUGUCCCCAAUAUUUGACUGGGUUGCCCAGGGGCGUAGCAAGGUUGGAGUGGGCCCAGAGACGAGAUUUUAAAAUGCCCCCCCCCCACUCAAAGUCCAGGGCCUCCGCACACCCCAGGUCCCCAAGGAUUUAAGUCUGAUAUUUCAAAAUAAGUAUGCUGCCUGGAAAUACAUUUCACUGAAUACACACACGUCACAAUAUAUAGUGAUAUACAUUGAGUACUAUAUAUCUGUGCUACUUUUAAUGCCUAGAACACACUAGAAAGACAAAUUAUUAAAAUGGCCCCCUCGCUGCAGAUUAGCCAAGGAGACUUUCAACCAUGCAGGGUGAGCCUAUGUUUGUUUUCUCAGAAUUCUGAACAAAUUCAGUCAAGUUUGAUUCCAGGAGGUUUUUCACAGGAGGCUUCUAAAGCCCUUUAACACACAUCUCCUCUGGAAUGGAGAUGCUGCAUUCACAUGUUGGCCAGAUUUACCCUGAAGUCCCUGCGAGUUAUUGGGGAGCAGUUCACACACAAGAAAAAUAAAAUAAAAGCACCACACAUGUUUCACAGUUCUCUCUCAGACCUUCUGGGUUGCAAAACAACUUGAACAUAAGUGUAUUUAUAAAUGAAUGAAUGAAUGAAUAAAAUAAAUAUAAUACUG